UAGGGAAUCUUCCACAAUGGACGCAAGUCUGAUGGAGCAACGCCGCGUGAGUGAAGAAGGUUUUCGGAUCGUAAAGCUCUGUUGUUGGUGAAGAAGGAUAGAGGCAGUAACUGGUCUUUAUUUGACGGUAAUCAACCAGAAAGUCACGGCUAACUACGUGCCAGCAGCCGCGGUAAUACGCAGGUGGCAAGCGUUGUCCGGAUUUAUUGGGCGUAAAGCGAGCGCAGGCGGAAUGAUAAGUCUGAUGUGAAAGCCCACGGCUCAACCGUGGAACUGCAUCGGAAACUGUCAUUCUUGAGUGCAGAAGAGGAGAGUGGAAUUCCAUGUGUAGCGGUGGAAUGCGUAGAUAUAUGGAAGAACACCAGUGGCGAAGGCGGCUCUCUGGUCUGCAACUGACGCUGAGGCUCGAAAGCAUGGGUAGCGAACAGG
rnacentral:rRNA from 1 species